UACAGAGGGUGCGAGCGUUGUCCGGAAUCACUGGGCGUAAAGGGCGCGUAGGUGGCUUGUUAAGCGUGUGGUGAAAGCCUGGGGCUCAACCCCAGGUCUGCCGUGCGAACUGGCAAGCUUGAGCGUAGUAGAGGCAGGUGGAAUUUCGGGUGUAGCGGUGGAAUGCGUAGAUAUCCGAAAGAACACCGGUGGCGAAGGCGGCCUGCUGGGCUACUGCUGACACUGAUACGCGACAGCGUGGGGAGCAAACAGG
rnacentral:rRNA from 1 species